GGGUUGUGAGGUUAAGCGACUAAGCGUACACGGUGGAUGCCCGGCAGUCAGAGGCGAUGAAGGACGUGCUAAUCUGCGAUAAGCGUCGGUAAGGUGAUAUGAACCGUUAUAACCGGCGAUUUCCGAAUGGGGAAACCCAGUGUGAUUCGUCACACUAUCAUUAACUGAAUCCAUAGGUUAAUGAGGCGAACCGGGGAACUGAAACAUCUAAGUACCCCGAGGAAAAGAAAUCAACCGAGAUUCCCCAGUAGCGGCGAGCGAACGGGGAGCAGCCCAGAGCCUGAAUCAGUGUGUGUGUUAGUGGAAGCGUCUGGAAAGGCGCGCGAUACAGGGUGACAGCCCCGUACACAAAAAUGCACAUGCUGUGAGCUCGAUGAGUAGGGCGGGACACGUGGUAUCCUGUCUGAAUAUGGGGACCAUCCUCCAAGGCUAAAUACUCCUGACUGACCGAUAGUGAACCAGUACCGUGAGGGAAAGGCGAAAAGAACCCCGGCGAGGGGAGUGAAAAGAACCUGAAACCGUGUACGUACAAGCAGUGGGAGCACGCUUAGGCGUGUGACUGCGUACCUUUGUAUAAUGGGUCAGCGACUUAUAUUCUGUAGCAAGGUUAACCGAAUAGGGAGCCGAAGGGAAACCGAGUCUUAACUGGGCGUUAAGUUGCAGGGUAUAGACCCGAAACCCGGUGAUUCAGCCAUGGGCAGGUUGAAGGUUGGGUAACACUAACUGGAGGACCGAACCGACUAAUGUUGAAAAAUUAGCGGAUGACUUGUGGCUGGGGGUGAAAGGCCAAUCAAACCGGGAGAUAGCUGGUUCUCCCCGAAAGCUAUUUAGGUAGCGCCUCGUGAAUUCAUCUCCGGGGUAGAGCACUGUUUCGGCAAGGGGUCAUCCCGACUUACCAACCCGAUGCAAACUGCGAAUACCGGAGAAUGUUAUCACGGAGACACACGGCGGGUGCUAACGUCCGUCGUGAAGAGGAAACAACCCAGACCGCCAGCUAAGGUCCCAAAGUCAUGGUUAAGUGGGAAACGAUGUGGGAAGGCCCAGACAGCCGGGAUGUUGGCUUAGAAGCAGCCAUCAUUUAAAGAAAGCGUAAUAGCUCACUGGUCGAGUCGGCCUGCGCGGAAGAUGUAACGGGGCUAAACCAUGCACCGAAGCUGCGGCAGCGACGCUGAUGCGUUGUUGGGUAGGGGAGCGUUCUGUAAGCCUGCGAAGGUGUGCUGUGAGGCAUGCUGGAGGUAUCAGAAGUGCGAAUGCUGACAUAAGUAACGAUAAAGCGGGUGAAAAGCCCGCUCGCCGGAAGACCAAGGGUUCCUGUCCAACGUUAAUCGGGGCAGGGUGAGUCGACCCUAAGGCGAGGCCGAAAGGCGUAGUCGAUGGGAAACAGGUUAAUAUUCCUGUACUUGGUGUUACUGCGAAGGGGGACGGAGAAGGCUAUGUUGGCCGGGCGACGGUUGUCCCGGUUUAAGCGUGUAGGCUGGUUUUCGAGCAAAUCCGGAAAAUCAAGGCUGAGGCGUGAUGACGAGGCACUACGGUGCUGAAGCAACAAAUGCCCUGCUUCCGGAAAAGCCUCUAAGCAUCAGGUAACAUCAAAUCGUACCCCAAACCGACACAGGUGGUCAGGUAGAGAAUACCAAGGCGCUUGAGAGAACUCGGGUGAAGGAACUAGGCAAAAUGGUGCCGUAACUUCGGGAGAAGGCACGCUGAUAUGUAGGUGAAGUCCCUCGCGGAUGGAGCUGAAAUCAGUCGAAGAUACCAGCUGGCUGCAACUGUUUAUUAAAAACACAGCACUGUGCAAACACGAAAGUGGACGUAUACGGUGUGACGCCUGCCCGGUGCCGGAAGGUUAAUUGAUGGGGUCAGCGCAAGCGAAGCUCUUGAUCGAAGCCCCGGUAAACGGCGGCCGUAACUAUAACGGUCCUAAGGUAGCGAAAUUCCUUGUCGGGUAAGUUCCGACCUGCACGAAUGGCGUAAUGAUGGCGGGCUGUCUCCACCCGAGACUCAGUGAAAUUGAACUCGCUGUGAAGAUGCAGUGUACCCGCGGCAAGACGGAAAGACCCCGUGAACCUUUACUAUAGCUUGACACUGAACAUUGAGCCUUGAUGUAGGAUAGGUGGGAGGCUUUGAAGUGUGGACGCCAGUCUGCAUGGAGCCGACCUGAAAUACCACCCUUUAAUGUUUGAUGUUCUAACGUUGACCCGUGAUCCGGGUUGCGGACAGUGUCUGGUGGGUAGUUUGACUGGGGCGGUCUCCUCCUAAAGAGUAACGGAGGAGCACGAAGGUUGGCUAAUCCGGUCGGACAUCAGGAGGUUAGUGCAAUGGCAUAAGCCAGCUUGACUGCGAGCGUGACGGCGCGAGCAGGUGCGAAAGCAGGUCAUAGUGAUCCGGUGGUUCUGAAUGGAAGGGCCAUCGCUCAACGGAUAAAAGGUACUCCGGGGAUAACAGGCUGAUACCGCCCAAGAGUUCAUAUCGACGGCGGUGUUUGGCACCUCGAUGUCGGCUCAUCACAUCCGGGGCUGAAGUAGGUCCCAAGGGUAUGGCUGUUCGCCAUUUAAAGUGGUACGCGAGCUGGGUUUAGAACGUCGUGAGACAGUUCGGUCCCUAUCUGCCGUGGGCGCUGGAGAACUGAGGGGGGCUGCUCCUAGUACGAGAGGACCGGAGUGGACGCAUCACUGGUGUUCGGGUUGUCAUGCCAAUGGCACUGCCCGGUAGCUAAAUGCGGAAGAGAUAAGUGCUGAAAGCAUCUAAGCACGAAACUUGCCCCGAGAUGAGUUCUCCCUGACCCUUUAAGGGUCCUGAAGGAACGUUGAAGACGACGACGUUGAUAGGCCGGGUGUGUAAGCGCAGCGAUGCGUUGAGCUAACCGGUACUAAUGAACCGUGAGGCUUAACCUUACAACGCCGAAGGUGUUU
rnacentral:rRNA from 1 species